GUGAAUCAUCGAAUCUUUGAACGCACCUUGCGCUCCUUGGUAUUCCGAGGAGCAUGCCUGUUUGAGUGUCAUUAAAUUCUCAAUCCCAGAAAGGGUUUAUAUAAUCUCAGCUGGGCUUGGAUAUGGGGGUUUUGCUGGCUUUGUAAAGAGUCAGCUCUCCUGAAAAACAUUAGCAAGACUGUUAUUGCAACCUUGUAUUUGGUGUGAUAAUUAUCUACAUCAUAGAUUGUGUGCAUGUGCAUGUCUGGCUUCUAACAGUCCAUUGAAUUGGACAAAACUCUGACAAUUUGACCUCAAAUC
rnacentral:misc_RNA from 1 species